GUGCCAGCCGCCGCGGUAAGACAGAGGGUGCAAACGUUGUUCGGAAUUACUGGGCGUAAAGCGCGUGUAGGCUGCUCUGCAAGUCGGGUGUGAAAGCCCCGGGCUCAACCUGGGAAGUGCACUCGAAACUGCAGAGCUCGAGUCCUGGAGAGGAAGGCGGAAUUCUCGGUGUAGAGGUGAAAUUCGUAGAUAUCGAGAGGAACACCGGUGGCGAAGGCGGCCUUCUGGACAGUGACUGACGCUGAGACGCGAAAGCGUGGGGAGCAAACAGGAUUAGAAACCCCCGUAGUCC
rnacentral:rRNA from 1 species